rnacentral:rRNA from 1 species
UACAGAGGUCCCAAGCGUUGUUCGGAUUUACUGGGCGUAAAGGGAGCGUAGGUGGCAUUCUAAGUCUGAUGUGAAAGCUCUGAGCUUAACUCAGAAAUGGCAUUAGAUACUAGUUUGCUUGAGGAUUGGAGGGGAGAUUGGAAUUCUUGGUGUAGCAGUGAAAUGCGUAGAUAUCAAGAGGAACACCAGUGGCGAAGGCGAAUCUCUGGACAAUUCCUGACACUGGUGCUCGAAAGCUAGGGGAGCAAACGGG